UAAAUAAGAGAAGCCCUUGAAUACUCUCCCACCACAGCGAGUUGUAUCGAACUUUCUUCCCAGUCUCCCUCCAUCUAUCAGUAGUUACUCUUUCCUUCCAUAACUCUACAAUGUCGACCUGCGGCAACUGCGACUGUGCCGACAAGAGCCAGUGCGUGAAGAAGGGAAACUCCUACGGCGUCGAAGUCGUGACGGUUGAGACCAGGACCAGGUACACCGAGGAGGUGGUUGAGGUCGCUCCGGCAGCUGAGAACGAUGGGAAAUGCAAGUGCGGGGCGAGCUGCAGUUGUGUGGAUUGCAAAUGUGGCCACUGAUCACCGCCAUUCAACAUAAAAACACAGGCUCAAACAUGUAAUAAUGGUGUGGUGAAUAAACUGGUUGUGUUAGUUUCUAUGUAUCUACUAAUGUUGGGAUAAGCAAUGUGUGGCUUUCCCACAUAGUAUUUGUGUUGCUUAAUGAACUUCUAUUAGCAUAA